UCUUGGACAACGGGGGAAAGCCUGAUCGAUUUAUGCCCGCAAAGUGAAGAAGCUCCUCAACCCCCCAAACCACUUUUGGCACGGAGGAUAAUGACGGUACCGCCAGAAUAAGCCCCGGCUAACUUCGUGCCAGCAGCCCCGGUAAUACGAAGGGGGCAAGCGUUGCUCGGAAUGACUGGGCGUAAAGGGGGCGUAGGCGGCAUGUCAGUCAGAAGUGAAAUUCCUGGGCUUAACCUGCGCAUUGCUUUUGAUACGCCAGGCUAGAGUGAGGAAGAGGGUUGGGAAUUUCCAGUGUAGAGGUAAAUUCGUAGAUAUGGAAAGAACACCGGGGCGAAGGCGGCAACCCGGUCCUUUACUACGCUCAUGCACGAAA
rnacentral:rRNA from 1 species